GCUGUUAAAGGAUAACAGUUCAUCCAUUGGUCUUAGGAUCCAAAAACUCUUGGCGCAAAUCAAGUAACAGCU
rnacentral:tRNA from 1 species